rnacentral:rRNA from 1 species
CCUACGGGGUGCAGCAGUGAGGAAUAUUGGUCAAUGGACGAGAGUCUGAACCAGCCAAGUAGCGUGAAGGAUGACUGCCCUAUGGGUUGUAAACUUCUUUUAUAUGGGAAUAAAAUGUUCCACGUGUGGGAUUUUGUAUGUACCAUAUGAAUAAGGAUCGGCUAACUCCGUGCCAGCAGCCGCGGUAAUACGGAGGAUCCGAGCGUUAUCCGGAUUUAUUGGGUUUAAAGGGAGCGUAGGUGGAUUGUUAAGUCAGUUGUGAAAGUUUGCGGCUCAACCGUAAAAUUGCAGUUGAAACUGGCAGUCUUGAGUACAGUAGAGGUGGGCGGAAGUCGUGGUGUAGCGGUGAAAUGCUUAGAUAUCACGAAGAACUCCGAUUGCGAAGGCAGUUCACUGGACUGCAACUGACACUGAGGCUCGAAAGUGUGGGUAUCAAACAGGAUUAGAUACCCGGGUAGUC